ensembl:lncRNA
UGGACAGCCGUGUCAGGAACCAGCCUCUUGUGCCUGCCUACCGCUCAUCAGAUGGUUACUGAUGAGCAACCCCAGCGACCCAGAGGCUGCUGGUAUUUCGCCUCAUGGCAGAAGCUCCUUCCUGGUCCUCUGCAGGCUGUGAAUGGGGCCUUCAUGAAGCCUAGACUUGGAAGUAAAGAAGAGAAUUCAUGGUACUUUCGGAAACACAUGUUCUUUGAAGGACGAAUUUUUUGUUUUCAUUUCAAACAGCCCUGCCUGGUGACGAGUGGUGAGGAGAGGUGCCCUGUUUUCCAUCCUGACACCUAUUUCCAGGUGGGGGCAGGGAGGACUCCAAUCUGAAAUGUUAUUUCAAACCCUUUCCGGGCCUUGCGCUCCAUUUCCAGCCCACAUGCCUCAAAGCAAAGCAGGAUUCCCAUUACAUCGUGUUGCCCUUUCUACUCUGAGCACUUUUCAAAGUGGGAAGACCUAGCCUGCUUCAGCACUCUCCCAUCUGUCCCCGUAAAUACAGUCUCAUGGUCUGAUGUGGAGUUUAAAUAAACAGGCUUGGUAGGCACUGAUGGCCACACUCCUGAUAGGCCAGCUUGCUAAGGGCACCAAACUCUAGGCUACUCUGCCCUGCCCUCCAGAGAGACAAGAUGAAACUAGUGUUUUACAAAUGCUCCCGCUUUUUGCUAUCUGAGACACAUUCUGAAAAGGAGCAGGCCAGCAAAGUCCUGUCAUCUGACAAGGUGUGGACAGAGAUGGAUGACAUGCUCCCUGCCAGAGAAGGCCACAUUCAGACACUCCCAGAUAGCCAGCUGCCACUUUAUUAACAGCGAAUAUCCCCAUCUGAGUCAGGCUGGGAAAGAAAAUAUUUAUGCUUGCUUGUCAGAAGGACCUUCACUUUUCUUCAGGGGGAGCCAGCUAUGGUGCUAGUUCAGGGCUGAAGGGGUGUGACAUGUCUGUGCAUCUGCUCCAGGCCUGGCUGCAGCUCGGGGUUGAUGAAGACUCCCAAAUAUCUCCAGGACAGCUCUGGGAAGGGAUGAAGGGGGGCUUUGGGAGAGCAGGAGCUGCAGGCAGAGAUCGGUGCUCAUGCACAUUCAACAAUCUUUCCAUGAACUGAAAAACAUGUAGUUCCAUUAUUCAGAGAAGCAACUUAGUGGCCCUGAGUGAGAGGAAGAGAACUUUGCAUUGUCUGAAAAUGUCAACACUGAACCUGAGCCUGUCAUUUAAAUUGG